rnacentral:rRNA from 1 species
GAUGAACGCUAGCUACAGGCUUAACACAUGCAAGUCGAGGGGUAACGAGAGGAAAGCUUGCUUUCCUUGUCGACGACCGGCGCACGGGUGAGUAACGCGUAUCCAACCUGCCCCCAACUAGGGAAUAACCUUGCGAAAGUAAGACUAAUACCCUAUAAUUUCCUCAGAUGUCAUCUGACGAGGAAUAAAGAUUUAUCGGUUGUGGAUGGGGAUGCGUCUGAUUAGCUUGUUGGCGGGGUAACGGCCCACCAAGGCAACGAUCAGUAGGGGUUCUGAGAGGAAGGUCCCCCACGUUGGAACUGAGACACGGGCCAAACUCCUACGGGAGGCAGCAGUGAGGAAUAUUGGUCAAUGGGCGGAAGCCUGAACCAGCCAAGUAGCGUGCAGGAUGACGGCCCUAUGGGUUGUAAACUGCUUUUAUACAGGAAUAAAGUUAGCCACGUGUGGUUAUUUGUAGGUACUGUAUGAAUAAGGACCGGCUAAUUCCGUGCCAGCAGCCGCGGUAA